CAUUACCAGUAUUAGAGGCACUGCCUGCCCAGUGACAUUAGUUAAACGGCCGCGGUAUCCUGACCGUGCAAAGGUAGCAUAAUCAUUUGUUCCUUAAUUAGGGACUUGUAUGAACGGCCCCACGAGGGUUUAACUGUCUCUUACUUUCAAUCAGUGAAAUUGACCUUCCCGUGAAGAGGCGGGAAUACAAAAAUAAGACGAGAAGACCCUAUGGAGCUUAAAUUAAUAUGUUCAACAGAAUUUAAUUAUAAUCCAAUAGGAUAAAAUAUUCUAACUGAACAAUAAAUUUUGGUUGGGGUGACCUCGGAGUAUAACAUAACCUCCGAGCAAUUAAACUAAGACUUACCAGUCAAGGCCAUAUAACUUAUUGAUCCAAUCUUAUUGAUCAACGAAACAAGUUACCCUAGGGAUAACAGCGCAAUCCUAUUUAAGAGUUCAUAUCGACAAUAGGGUUUACGACCUCGAUGUUGGAUCAGGACACCCAAAUGGUGCAGCAGCUNNNNNAGGUUCGUUU
rnacentral:rRNA from 1 species